rnacentral:lncRNA from 10 species
UUCAAAACUUAGAGAAUAAUGCAUAUGUAUUGUUAAACUUCUUGGGAAGAAAAACACUCAUCAGCUCUGUCCUCAUUGUCAUCAGUAACAUGCCGGUUACACAGUGGGCACUAAAAGAGUGCUAGUUUCCUUAUGUUUCAGCCCACAGAAGACUUUUCAUAUAAUCCUUAUUCAUUUCCUAGUAAAUUAUUGAUAGUUCUCAGAUAUUUGUAAU